AAAACAAGCCAUAUUCAGCCUCUUUAUAUGGGCGCUUGCUCUACCACUAGGCCACCCAGGCACCCAGUUUUUGUCAAUUUCUUCAGUGCCUUUUUACGUUUU